GACGAACGCUGGCGGCGUGCUUAACACAUGCAAGUCGAACGGAAAGGCCCUGCUUUUGUGGGGUGCUCGAGUGGCGAACGGGUGAGUAACACGUGAGUAACCUGCCCUUGACUUUGGGAUAACUUCAGGAAACUGGGGCUAAUACCGGAUAGGAGCUCCUGCUGCAUGGUGGGGGUUGGAAAGUUUCGGCGGUUGGGGAUGGACUCGCGGCUUAUCAGCUUGUUGGUGGGGUAGUGGCUUACCAAGGCUUUGACGGGUAGCCGGCCUGAGAGGGUGACCGGCCACAUUGGGACUGAGGUACGGCCCAGACUCCUACGGGAGGCAGCGGUGGGGAAUAUUGCACAAUGGGCGGAAGCCUGAUGCAGCAACGCCGCGUGCGGGAUGACGGCCUUCGGGUUGUAAACCGCUUUCGCCUGUGACGAAGCGGGGGUGACGGUAAUGGGUAAAGAAGCACCGGCUAACUACGUG
rnacentral:rRNA from 1 species